rnacentral:rRNA from 1 species
UACGGAGGGAGCUAGCGUUGUUCGGAAUUACUGAACGUAAAGCGCGCGUAGGCGGUCUAUAAAGUUAAGGGUGAAAUCCCGGAGCUCAACUCCGGAACUGCCUCCAAAACUGCUAGACUCGAGUUCGGAAGAGGUAAGUAGAAUUCCCAAUGUAGAGGUGAAAUUCGUAAAUAUUGGGAAGAAUACCAGUAGCGAAGGCAGCUUACUAGUCCGAUACUGACGCUGAGAUACGAAAGCGUGGGGAGCAAACAGGAUUAGAUACCCCCCGUAGUCC